GUGGGGAAUAUUGCACAAUGGGGGGAACCCUGAUGCAGCGACGCCGCGUGAGGGAAGAAGGUUUUUGGAUUGUAAACCUCUGUCCUUGGUAAAGAAGCAAGACGGUAGCCAAGGAGGAAGCCACGGCUAACUACGUGCCAGCAGCCGCGGUAAUACGUAGGUGGCAAGCGUUGUCCGGAAUUACUGGGUGUAAAGGGAGCGUAGGCGGUUAUGCAAGUUGAAUGUGAAAUCUAUCGGCUCAACUGAUAGGCUGCGUUCAAAACUGUAUAUCUUGAGUGAAGUAGAGGCAGGCGGAAUUCCUAGUGUAGCGGUGAAAUGCGUAAAUAUUAGGAGGAACACCAGUGGCGAAGGCGGUCUGCUGGGCUUUAACUGACGCUGAGGCUCGAAAGCGUGGGUAGCAAACAGGAUUAGAAACCCUAGUAGUCC
rnacentral:rRNA from 1 species